AUUGAACGCUGGCGGCAUGCCUUACACAUGCAAGUCGAACGGCAGCGGGCCUUCGGGUGCCGGCGAGUGGCGAACGGGUGAGUAAUGCAUCGGAACGUGCCAUUGAGUGGGGGGAUAACGUAGCGAAAGUUACGCUAAUACCGCAUAUUCUGUGAGCAGGAAAGCAGGGGACCGCAAGGCCUUGCGCUCUUUGAGCGGCCGAUGUCAGAUUAGCUAGUUGGUGAGGUAAAGGCUUACCAAGGCGACGAUCUGUAGCGGGUCUGAGAGGAUGAUCCGCCACACUGGAACUGAGACACGGUCCAGACUCCUACGGGAGGCAGCAGUGGGGAAUUUUGGACAAUGGGCGCAAGCCUGAUCCAGCAAUGCCGCGUGCAGGAAGAAGGCCUUCGGUUGGUAAACUGCUUUUGUCUAGGGAAGGAAAUACCUCUAGGUUAAUA
rnacentral:rRNA from 1 species